UAAGAGCAAAUGAAAAGAUGAGUAGAAGAUGUGAAGUCGUUUAGAGAGCUUGGUAAGGUGAAAGCAAGCCGAUGGAUAUUUUCGAAUAUGGUCUUUGAUAUUGCGUUUAUUGAUGAACUUGCGCAAGUAAAUUAAUAAUGGUUGACGUUCAUUACUACGUUAUUAGAGAACUUUUAAGGCUGAAUUUAAAUUCAGUAAACAAAGGUGGUACCGCGAGGUCUUUCGCCCUUUGA
rnacentral:ncRNA from 1 species